rnacentral:miRNA from 1 species
GGCAGUCCAUCCCAUCCACAACUCUACUCUGUACCACCCAAAAUGAGGGUUGCCAGAAAACAAUACCUGCAAUAUUUGGGACAUACUUUUACUAAACAAUGAUUACUUGUUCACUUGAAGUUUCAGUUUAAUUGGACGUGCUAUUUU